rnacentral:rRNA from 1 species
GUACACUCCUACGGGAGGCAGCAGUGGGGAAUAUUGGACAAUGGGCGCAAGCCUGAUCCAGCCAUGCCGCGUGAGUGAUGAAGGCCCUAGGGUUGUAAAGCUCUUUCACCGGUGAAGAUAAUGACGGUAACCGGAGAAGAAGCCCCGGCUAACUUCGUGCCAGCAGCCGCGGUAAUACGAAGGGGGCUAGCGUUGUUCGGAUUUACUGGGCGUAAAGCGCACGUAGGCGGACUAUUAAGUCAGGGGUGAAAUCCCGGGGCUCAACCCCGGAACUGCCUUUGAUACUGGUAGUCUUGAGUUCGAGAGAGGUGAGUGGAAUUCCGAGUGUAGAGGUGAAAUUCGCAGAUAUUCGGAGGAACACCAGUGGCGAAGGCGGCUCACUGGCUCGAUACUGACGCUGAGGUGCGAAAGCGUGGGGAGCAAACAGGAUUAGAAACCCUAGUAGUCCC